CCUACGGGCGGCAGCAGUGAGGAAUAUUGGUCAAUGGACGAGAGUCUGAACCAGCCAAGUAGCGUGAAGGAUGACUGCCCUAUGGGUUGUAAACUUCUUUUAUAUGGGAAUAAAAUGUUUCACGUGUGGGAUUUUGUAUGUACCAUAUGAAUAAGUAUCGGCUAACUCCGUGCCAGCAGCCGCGGUAAUACGGAGGAUCCGAGCGUUAUCCGGAUUUAUUGGGUUUAAAGGGAGCGUAGGUGGCUUGUUAAGUUAGUUGUGAAAGGUUGCGGCGCAACCGUAAAAUUGCAAUUGAAACUGGCAGUCUGGAGUACAGUAGAGGUGGGCGGAAUACGUGGUGUAGCGGUGAAAUGCUUAGAUAUCACGAAGAACUCCGAUUGCGAAGGCAGCUCACUGGACUGCAACUGACACUGAGGCUCGAGAGUGUGGGUAGCAAACAGGAUUAGAUACCCCAGUAGUC
rnacentral:rRNA from 1 species